rnacentral:lncRNA from 1 species
CCGCAAUGGAAGCUCAGAGUCUGGUAUCCACAACGGACAGUCUAGUUUCACAGUGUCCACUAUAACUGAGUCUUUUAGACUGGUGCUUAGCGUAAAUAAGGUGCCGAUACGUGACAGAUCACCCUGGAAUGUGCAGUCAACUCAGCUCCACGGCCACGAGUGUGUCUACGAAUUUUAUCAGAGAGAAUACGACUAACAGGGCUCUGCUACAAAUCACAGGAAUCACAUCUGGGGUUUCUACACCGUGCUCUCUAACGCCAAAUGAGUUAGAUGAGGAUGGGAUAUUUUAAAGAAAAAUUCCAGUUACUUCCAAAAGAAGAAAUAUAAAGGUCGAAAAUAUAUGACCUUGUAAACGAAGGAGAAUAAAAUCUAUGAAUAUCUGAAAUCCUCAAACUUUUAAAUGCUAUUAAUAAAGACAUCAAAAUUCUGUUUAA